GAUGAAGAACGUAGCGAAAUGCGAUAAGUAAUGUGAAUUGCAGAAUUCAGUGAAUCAUCGAAUCUUUGAACGCACAUUGCGCCCCUUGGUAUUCCGGGGGGCAUGCCUGUUCGAGCGUCAUUACAACCCUCAAGCUCUGCUUGGUCUUGGGCGUCACCGGUCCCCGGUGUGCCUUAAAAUCAGUGGCGGCGCCAUCUGGCUCUAAGCGUAGUACAUACUCUCGCUACAGACGUCCGGUGGAUGCUGGCCAGCAACCCCCAAUUUAUCAAGGUUGACCUCGGAUCAGGUAGGGAUACCCGCUGAACUUAAGCAUAUCAAUAAGCGGAGG
rnacentral:misc_RNA from 1 species